GAGAGAUAUAACUGGGAACUUUAUCAAUGGAAAUUUAAAACUGAAUAGAUUUUUCAGUCCUAACUUUCUUAAGAAAAAAAUUAAAAAUUUUAAGAGUACUGUAACAAAAAAAUGGAAAAUGGCCCUAGCCUACAGUUCAGUCGUACACUAUUAAGAUUUCAAAAAUAAUUGUAGUUGUUGUUAAAUGACAGAAUUCAACUAGUUGAAUUUUAGAUAAUUAACUAUCAACUUUAAUUGAAUGUUUAGAUUUAGAAGAUGCAGAUCUCUUCCAUUGGUCUAAAUUGAAUCCUAAACUAAAGAAACGAAAUUACAUUAAACAACAAUUGAUUCCAAUAGUGUCAACCUUCCACAUGUUCUAGCUGUUCUUUUUUCCAUUCUUUAUAUGAAGACUAUCAAAAGAUACCCCCCCCCCCCCAAACCCCCACC
rnacentral:lncRNA from 1 species